rnacentral:tRNA from 1 species
AAGGGAGACCUAAUUCAGGUAUAAGACGAAAAAAAAGUAGUCGCUACCAAGAAUCAAUCCCAAAAGGUCG